rnacentral:lncRNA from 1 species
ACACAGAGAAACCCUGUCUUGGAAAAAAAAAAAGUGUGUGCGCGUGUGUCUGUGUGUGUGUAUUGUCAGGUUGGUAUAUAGGAUAUGGUCCAUGAAGUCCAAUGAUGGCUGUCCCACCCUGGAGAGUCCAAGAAUCUGGUGGUUGCUCAGUCCAUGAGUCUGGAUGUCUCUGCAGUACCAAUCUGGUGCUGGGGGUCUGGAGGAUUCCUGGAGAGCUGCUAAUCUCCGGUGUGUCUUGGAAGCCCAAAAGGUUGGUUCUAAUCUUGGUGAAGGAACAAGAUAGAGUGGUUGCCAGCAAGAAUGAGGGCAAACAGGGAAAAAUCUAUUAUCCUUUUGUCGCCUUUUAUCUGAGCCGCCACCAGAAGGUGGAGCCUGCAUUUAGGGUGGGUCUUCCUGUUUCGAAUAAUCUGGCUAAGAAAAUCGCUCACUCUGCAUUUUGCAUUUAAUUGAUUGUCCAGUCAGGUUGACAGCCAAGAUUAACCAGCACAGAAGGAAAGGGGAGAGGGCAGGGAAGAAGAGGAGGGAAGAGUAGAGCUGAACUCACAGGGAGGUGAUUCACACCCGAUAUACUUUCUGUCAGUCUGUGGAUACAGGGACAGGAUGUGUGACAAUCUUCCACAGAAAUCAGGCAGGUCAUACACUGGAAAGCCAAUGCUUAAUAAACCAGGAAUGAGUGAAGAGAAGACACAUCGCCAUGCUUGGUCCCGGGUCCUGCUGAGAAUAUGAGUGGUGUUACCUUAAGCUGAUUCUUCCCAGGGCCAGCCCUACCUCAAAGAGUGUGGUUUGCUAUUUUUCACCUAAGCAAGAAAAGGACUAAGAGCCCACAAUCCCCUACCUCAACCAGCAUCUAUGAAGCAAGAAGAUCUCUGACUGGGAACUGUGUGGUCAUCUUUGAGAAACCACAACUGAAGCUGAGAGUAUGAGGGAUGGGGGAGGGGCACCUGCAAUUGCAGGGCUGGAGGCACAGGGAGCCCGAAGCAGCUCAGCUAUGCGGGUCCAAAGGCCUCAGUUCCCUGGGGCCUGACUCAGGCAGCCCCAGAACAGGUUUAUGUGGGUGUUUUUUUCUCUCUCCCCAUGUGUGUGUGUGUGUGUGUUUUCAUGUGUGUGUGGAGGCCAAAGGUUAAACUUGGGUGUCCUCUCCAGCCCUCCUGUAACUUGUUGUUUGAAACAGGGUUUGCUACUUUGGACUUGAACUGGUCUUUUUGGCUAGGCUAGACAGCCCAUGUGCUCCUCCAAGGAACAGCCUGUCUCUGUCCCGCUAAUGCUGGGGUCACCACCUCACACUCAGGUUCUAACGAUUGUUACAUUGAACCAUCACCCCAUCCCUGGACGCAAGAUCUUGAUGGAGAAACAUCAUACUUCAGAAAUUGAAUGGAGGAGGCUGAAAUAUGUAGAGAAAUCUUCGAAGAGGAUUUCUGACCGUGGGGAAGAGAUGACCAAAGAGGACCCUGAAACCAGGCAGGGAGUGCCCACCACGAUACACCUACUUCAUGAAACCAGUGGCUUGUGGGUAGUUUUCAAGGACGUUGGAGGAAAUGGCAUGGUGACUGAAUCAGAUAUCCAAGAAACGUAGAGAACAGGAGGAUGUCAGCCUGGAAUCAAGGCUGUACAGCCAGGGUUAGGGGAGGCCAGCAGAGGGAGGCUGAGCUGUCGGGACUUCCACAGCUCUCUGAAACAGAAGUCACCUGCUUUCUGAUUGCUUUCUGAUUUUGCAUCUCCUCCAUCUGGUCUCUCUGGAGAAGUGACUCUUUCUUUGCAAAUGCCUGAAUUGCUUUGUGUGUUCACUAUGCUACCCAGCAGUUAUCCUUCCCUGUAGCAAGCUACCCAAGGUUGUCUCUCUCCCAUCCCCCCGCACCCCUCCGCCGCCCCCCCCCCACCCCACCCCGGGCCCGGCCCGGCCCGGCCCCGCCUCCCCCGCCCCCGGCCCCGCCCCAUGGGCUGUCAGGAGCUCUCAAUUGUCCUAAGAGAGAGCUCUUAGCUUCUAGGCCACCCUGGCCUUCAUAUACAACAGAGCCUUUUCCUGCUUGUGGUUUAGAGGUCCCAGAGCAGUAAAACCAGAAUCCCCAGGAGGCGGGGCUUUAGCAGGAGGGCUGGAAAUGGCUGGCAA